rnacentral:tRNA from 1 species
AAAAUGUUAAGUUAAGUUAAACUGAAAACCUUCAAAGUUUUUUAUGAUUUAGGUAAAUCACAUUUUG